AAUUUUGGGGUUUGGUGGAGGUUCGUUGGGAAAUUUUGGGGUUUUGUUGGAAAUUUUGGGGUUUGGUGGAGGUUCGGUGGGAAAUUUUGGGGUUUGGUGGAGGAUCGUUGGGAAAUUUUGGGGUUUUGUUGGAAAUUUUGGGGUAUGGUGGAGGUUCGGUGGGAAAUUUUGGGGUUUGGUGGGAAAUUUUGGGGUUUGGUGGAGGAUGAGUGGGAAAUUUUGGGGUUUGGUGGAGGUUCGGUGGGAAAUUUUGGGGUUUGAUGGGAAAUUUUGGGGUUUGGGGGAGGUUCGUUGGGAAAUUUUGGGGUUUUGUUGGAAAUUUUGGGGUUUGGUGGAGGUUCAGUGGGAAAUUUUGGGGUUUUGUUGGAAAUUUUGGGGUUUGGUGGAGGAUCGGUGGGAAAUUUUGGGGUUUGGUUGGAAAUUUUGGGGUUUGGUGGAGGUUCGUUGGGAAAUUUUGGGGAUUGGUGGGAAAUUUUGGAGGUUCCUGGAGGAUGGGUGGGAAAAUUUGGGGUUUUGUUGGAAAUUUUGGGGUUUGGUGGAGGUUCGGUGGGAAAUUUUGGGGUUUGGUGGAGGAUGGGUGGGAAAUUUUGGGGGUUCCUGGAGGAUGGGUGGGAAAUUUUGCGGAGGGAGUUUGGUUGAGGAAUUAGGGUCCCCUAAUUAAUUAUGGGGAUGCUAAUUACGGGGGUGGCGGGGUCCUCUAUUUAAUUAUGCAGACCUUAAUUAUGAGGGUGUUAUUAUGGGGUGUAAGGGACACAUGGAGGGCGUCACCAGAAGGGUGACGGGGGGACAUGGCGGGGGUCCAUGAGGGGGAUUGGGUGAGGAAUUAGGGUUCCCUAAUUAAUUAUGCAUACCUUAAUUAUGAGUGUGGUAUUAUGGGAUGGCGUUAAGGGGGCAAGGGACACAUGGAGGGGGUCACCAGAAGGGUGACUGGGGGACAUGGUGGGGGUCCAUGAGGGGGAUUGGGUGAGGAAUUAGGGUUCCCUAAUUAAUUAUGCAGACCUUAAUUAUGAGUGUGGUAUUAUGGGAUGGCGUUAAGGGGGCAAAGGACACGUGGAGGGGGGGGGUCACCAGAAGGGUGAAAGGGGGACAUGGUGGGGGUCCAUGAGGGGGUUCGGGUGAGGAAUUAGGGUUCCCUAAUUAAUUAUGCAGACCUUAAUUAUGAGGGUGGUAUUAUGGGAUGGCGUUAAGGGGGCAAAGGACACAUGGAGGGGGUCACCAGAAGGGUGACGGGGGGACAUGGCGGGGGUCCAUGAGGGGGUUCGGGUGAGGAAUUAGGGUCCCCUAAUUAAUUAUGCAGCCCUUAAUUAUGAGGGUGGUAUUAUGGGAUGGCGUUAAGGGGGCAAGGG
ensembl:lncRNA